rnacentral:rRNA from 1 species
GUGUAUAGAGUGGCGAACGGGUGAGUAACACGUGACCAACCUGCCUCUUACAUUGGGACAACCAAAAGAAAUUCUGGCUAAUACCAAAUACUCCGCACAUAUCACAUGAUGUAUGCGGGAAAGCUUUUGCGGUAAGAGAUGGGGUCGCGGCCCAUUAGGUAGACGGCGGGGUAGAAGCCCACCGUGCCGAUGAUGGGUAGCCGGGUUGAGAGACCGACCGGCCACAUUGGGACUGAGAUACGGCCCAGACUCCUACGGGAGGCAGCAGUGGGGAAUAUUGCGCAAUGGGGGAAACCCUGACGCAGCAACGCCGCGUGCGGGAUGAAGGCCUUCGGGUUGUAAACCGCUUUCAGCAGGGAAGACAUCGACGGUACCUGCAGAAGAAGCCCCGGCUAACUACGUGCCAGCAGCCGCGGUAAUACGUAGGGGGCGAGCGUUAUCCGGAUUCAUUGGGCGUAAAGCGCGCGCAGGCGGUUGCUCAAGCGGAACCUCUAAUCUCGGGGCUUAACCUCGAGCCGGGUUCCGAACUGGACGACUCGAGUGCGGUAGAGGCAGAUGGAAUUCCCGGUGUAGCGGUGGAAUGCGCAGAUAUCGGGAAGAACACCAACGGCGAAGGCAGUCUGCUGGGCCGUCACUGACGCUGAGGCGCGAAAGCUGGGGGAGCGAACAGGAUUAGAUACCCUGGUAGUCCCAGCCGUANACGAUNNNCGCUGGGUGUGGGA